GUUUCAUUCAAAUUUCUGCCCUAUCAACUUUCGACGGUAGGGUAGUGGCCUACCGUGGUGGUAACGGGUGACGGAGGAUUAGGGUUCGAUUCCGGAGAGGGAGCCUGAGAAACGGCUACCACAUCCAAGGAAGGCAGCAGGCGCGCAAAUUACCCAAAUCCCAACUCGGGGAGGUAGUGACAAGAAAUAACGAUGCUCCGGCCAUCGGUCGGGUAAUCGGAAUGAGGACAAUUUAAAUCCCUUAUCGAGGAUCAAUUGGAGGGCAAGUCUGGUGCCAGCAGCCGCGGUAAUUCCAGCUCCAAUAGCGUAUAUUUAAGUUGCUGCGGUUAAAAAGCUCGUAGUCGGAUUUCGGGUGGUGCCUACCGGUCCGCCCUUGGUGUGUACUGGUAGGCGCCACCUUUCUGCCGAGGACGGGUUCCUGGGCUUAGCUGUCUGGGGCCCGGAGUCGGCGAUGUCACUUUGAGUAAAUUAGGGUGUUUAAAGCAGGCUUAUGCUCUGUAUACACUAGCAUGGGAUGACACGAUAGGACUUCGGUCUAUCUUGUCGGUCUGUAGAUCGGAGUAAUGAUUAAGAGGGACAGUCGGGGGCAUUCGUAUUUCGUAGUCAGAGGUGAAAUUCUUGGAUUUACGGAAGACGAACUUCUGCGAAAGCAUUUGCCAAGGAUGUUUUCAUUGAUCAAGAACGAAAGUCGGGGGCUCGAAGACGAUUAGAUACCGUCGUAGUCUCGACCAUAAACGAUGC
rnacentral:rRNA from 1 species